AGAAGCUUGUUAGCUUGUUAGUUUCUGCAUUCCCAUGUCAUGUUUUUCAAUUUUCAUGCUUAUCUUGAUGUUUGCAUUGCCAACAAGGGGGAGAGAUUGCACACAAACUCUUCUUUUGUCAAGAGGGAAAGUUUUUCAUGCAUUUGUUCAGGGGGAGUUUUGAUUUCAGGGGGAGCUCUGUGAGCUCUGUGAGUUUUUUAUGCUCUUGUGCUCAUUUGCUCUUUUGUCGGUCGCAUUGAGCUGUUGUACCUCUUCUUGAGGAGAUCGGAUUUGGAUUUUCAUGUGAUUGGUGUUGAGCCUAUUUUCCUGCCUCUUCUUAAGGGAUCACAUGUUUUUGUCUCAGUCGUGUCGAACCGUUGCCCUUAUCUUAGGGGGUUGAGACUUUGCAGUUCAAGUUUCUUUUUUUCUUUUCUUAU
rnacentral:lncRNA from 1 species